AUUGAACGCUGGCGGCAGGCCUAACACAUGCAAGUCGAACGAGUGGCGGACGGGUGAGUAACGUCUGGGAAACUGCCCGAUAGAGGGGGGUAAAUAUUGGAAACGGUAGCUAAUACCGCAUAUCAUCGGAUGUGACCAGAUGGGAUUAGCUUGUAGGGGUGGUAACGGCUCACCAAGGCGACGAUCCCUAGCUGGUCUGUGAGGCUGACCAGCCACACUGGAACUGAGACACGGUCCAGACUCCUACGGGAGGCAGCAGUGGGGAAUAUUGCACAAUGGGCGCAAGCCUGAUGCAGCCAUGCCGCGUGUAUGAAGAAGGCCUUCGGGUUGUAAAGUACUUUCAGCGGGGAGGCGUUACCCGCAGAAGAAGCACCGGCUAACUCCGUGCCAGCAGCCGCGGUAAUUC
rnacentral:rRNA from 1 species